rnacentral:rRNA from 1 species
CGUAAAGACGCAUGCAGGUGGUUUGUUUAAGUUCAGAUGUGAAAGCCCGGGGCGUCAACCUCGGAAUAGCAUUUGUAAACUAGGCAGACUAGAGUACUGUAGAGGGGGGUAGGAAUUUCAGGUGUAGCGGUGAAAUGCGUAGAGAUCUGAAGGAAUACCGGUGGCGAAGGCGGCCCCCUCGGACAGAUACUGACACUCAGAUGCGAAAGCGUGGGGAGCAAACAGGAUUAGAUACCCUGGUAG